UGGGGAAUAUUGCACAAUGGGCGCAAGCCUGAUGCAGCCAUGCCGCGUGUAUGAAGAAGGCCUUCGGGUUGUAAAGUACUUUCAGCGGGGAGGAAGGGAGUAAAGUUAAUACCUUUGCUCAUCGACGUUACCCGCAGAAGAAGCACCGGCUAACUCCGUGCCAGCAGCCGCGGUAAUACGGAGGGUGCAAGCGUUAAUCGGAAUUACUGGGCGUAAAGCGCACGCAGGCGGUUUGUUAAGUCAGAUGUGAAAUCCUCGGGCUCAACCUGGGAACUGCAUCUGAUACUGGCGAGCUUGAGUCUCGUAGAGGGGGGUAGAAUUCCAGGUGUAUCGGUGAAAUGCGUAGAGAUCUGGAGGAAUACCGGUAGCGAAGGCGGCCCCCUGGACAAAGACUGACACUCAGGUGCGAAAGCGUGGGGAGCAAACAGG
rnacentral:rRNA from 1 species